GUCGACGAUCACGUGACGAUGCGGUUUACGAUUGAGAAUUGCCGCUUGAUGAGGAUCUCCCUGGAAUGGGUCAAUUCUAUUGCCUCCAUUGCGAGUAAUUGGAAUUUUCUCAAUGAUUUAGGGUUUCUUUGUUUUUUGUUUGUUUUUGGGGUAAAAAUUCUGAUAUUUGUUUGUUUUUUGUUUCUGCAGUCGAUAUUUUUCUAGCGAGGCUGUGAUGGUAGCGCACAAUGGAUCCAAGAGACACAGGAAGAGGUGUCCUUCUUGAAUAUUGACAAUCAGUUUGUUCAACAUGUUACUGGAAAUAUCCUUUCUUCCCUGUCCUGCUUGCUGACGGAAUUAUGUACGUUUUUAAGAUCAUCUGUAGUUUUUCUGGUGUCAGAUUGCUGGGAUUGAAUUCAUGGAAUCUGAAUCGUAACUCCUUUAUAGGUUUACUCUGAAACAAAGAACUGCCAAAGAUGCCAACGGAGAUAUGUGAGGCAUAACAUCUUCUUUACACAGGUACCUGUUGAUCUUGUUAUCGAUCACUCAGUUCUGGUGGAUGUGGCGAGAUCAGCGAAUGUUGUUCAGGCAAAUUAAUAGGAGUCUUAAAAGGAGUUUCUG